rnacentral:rRNA from 1 species
GGAUGCGAUCAUACCAGCACUAAAGCAACGGAUCCCAUCAGAACUCUGAAGUUAAGCGUGCUUGGGCGAGAGUAGUACCAGGAUGGGUGACCUCCUGGGAAGUCCUCGUGUUGCAUUCC